GCAGUGGUGGUUCAGUGGUGAAAUUUUUACCUUCCACGUGGGAGACCUGGGUUCAAUUUCCCGCCAAUGUG
rnacentral:tRNA from 1 species